AUUUCGUUAACCUAGUUGCUUUAGUGUAAAACAGGUAAUUUAUUACAAUGAGGAUUCAAAGUGAAUUUCAACUUUUAGGCCAAAGUAGCCAAAAUUUAAACAUAGCUGUCUUUUUAAAAUGAGCGAUUUUGUCCUUAAAUUUGAAAUUCGCACUCAAUUUAGUAAAUAACUCUGAACUAUUGAGGGCACUAUAGUGCUGGUAAGGCCGUUCAGGUCCCUGGUACCCCUCUUAUCGCUCUGAAAUGUUGCUUUUUAC